rnacentral:lncRNA from 1 species
CGCCGCCUCAGUCAUCGCCUUUUUAUACUCCGCCGACAGCUUGUACGCUUCAACGGCGGCGGCUGCAGAGGCACUCUGUUCAGCUGUCAGGCGACCAACCUCACCAUCCAGCCGCUUCAUCUCAUCCAGUCUGGCGGCAGACUCCCGCUGCACUACAAUAAGCUUCUUAUCCUUGGCGGCUAUCUUCUCCUUCAGCAGCCCAAUCUCCUGCUCCAACUUGGAGACAUAUUCAUUCCUCUCCAGAUCCCGCCGGAUAGCCGCAUUCAGUUUGCCACGGGCGUCCGCAUAAUCGCACUCCGCCUUAACCAAUCCCCGCUCGAUCUCCGCCACUCUCUCCUUGGCCUCCGCCAACUCCCUCUGGAGACCUUCGAUUUCUCCCCUGAGCUCCGCCUCAAUCCGGGGCUGCUUUGACGCCGCCACGAACAUAUCGUGUAACCCCGCCGAUACUUGACCAAACGCAGAGCUGAAGGGCGAUUGGUCAAUUGCCGUCGGGCGCGAUAUGCCCGCCAGACCCCCGAACCCCAGCCGCUCACACAGAUGGAAGAGGAACUCUCGCUCCCCUUCUGUCAUGAACGGCGCGUACUCGGCAAAGGAGUCCAGAUCACUGACGGGGGGCGCCUCUCCCUCCGCCACUGCAACCUUCGAUGCGGUUUGUCGGGCCUUCUUUUGUUGGCGGACCCCGAUAACCACCUCUUCUUCCUCUUCCUCGGCGGGGGAGUCAGGCUGCCGGCGCCUCUUCUCCAGCGCCCUUUGUGUGCCAGCAGCGGUCCUCGUCACCCGCACUGGCGGCUCACCCCUGGCCUCGGUAGCAGUCUCUGUUGAAGGUACCGCCUUCUUUUGAGGACCGCGCCUGGUGGCAGGCAUCCGUUCCCGCUGCCCGGUAGCAACGAUUCCCCUCUCCCCGCCAUCCGCCUGAGUCCCCGCCUGCACCGUAGGCAGACCAUCUUCGCCAAGGUGAGACUGGUGUGGCAUUGCCAUCUCCACCGGAACCUCGGAGUGACUCAACGCCAACGUCUCCGGGUUCACCACGGUCUGCUGGGCCGC